UACGUAGGGGGCUAGCGUUGUCCGGAUUUAUUGGCGUAAAGAGCGUGUAGGCGGCCAGGUAGGUCUGCUGUGAAAACUCGAGGCUCAACCUCGAGAUCGGCGGCGAAACCAUCUGGCUAGAGUCCGGAAGAGGAAGAGAGUACUUCGUGGUGAUGAGCGGUGAAAUGCGCAGAUAUCAGGAAGAACACCCGUGGCGAAGGCGGCUCUCUGGGACGGUACUGACGCUGAGGACG
rnacentral:rRNA from 1 species